CAGCAGCCACGGGAAUACGUAGGUGGCAAGCGUUGUCCGGAAUUAUUGGGCGUAAAGGGCUCGCAGGCGGUUUCUUAAGUCUGAUGUGAAAGCCCCCGGCUCAACCGGGGAGGGUCAUUGGAAACUGGGAGACUUGAGUGCAGAAGAGGAGAGUGGAAUUCCAUGUGUAGCGGUGAAAUGCGUAGAGAUGUGGAGGAACACCAGUGGCGAAGGCGACUCUCUGGUCUGUAACUGACGCUGAGGAGCGAAAGCGUGGGGAGCGAACAGGAUUAGAUACCCGUGUAGUCCCUGUCUCUUAUAC
rnacentral:rRNA from 1 species